CCAGGUCCUCCUCCUCCUCAGCCUCAGGACCUGCUCCAAAGAAGCCCAAAAUGGAAGUGAUAGACUUAACAAUUAGUUCUGAUGAAGAUUCAGACACUGAAAGUGAAUGUGAUUCACCUCAGCCCAUGUCAUCGAAUGCAUUUGGUGAUGUCAUCAGCCUGGACUCUCCCACUCCUGCGCCAUCCUCUGCAUCAACGUCAUGUGACUCCCCCAUGGUGGCCUCACCAUCAUCCAAUUCAAAUUCAUCUUCAUCCUCAUCCUCAUCUUCAUCAUCUUCCUCCAGCACCCCAAAGCAACCAUCCUCACCACAGAAAUCUCAAGCAGGAACCCCAGUAAGUGCCCCCUUAUCAGCGCCCCAGUCAGUAAGCUCCCUCUCCCCUGCCCGGUCCUCGCGCCAGUCUACGCCUGCCCUAGCUCCUAGUCCUCGCCCCUUGCCCUCGCCCUCGCCUCCGGGAGGACAGCCCGUGAUUCACUCUCCUUUAGGAAUUAGAAUUUCCCCUGUGACGCCCCCCUCUACUACCCCCAUUUUAGCCCCUUUUCAACCAAUACCAGCCCCAGUGUCAAUACCAGCACCUGUAUUUCCCCAUUAUCCUGCCCCUCCACAAAUACAAAAUUAUGACCCCAACUUAGAUAGAGAGAUUGAAGACUUCUUAAGGGGAAUUGUGUGGGACCAAUAUAGAUAGCUGUCAUGUCACCUUUAUAUAAAUGGGUAAUUUUAAACAUAGAAUGGUGCUGAAGCUCUCCCAAAACAAAUUUUAUGAUACAUUUUCUUAGAGUUACGGGAGAACAGAAUGAGCCUUCAUUUCUUAUGCAUGAUUUACGAGUCUUUUAAAAUAAAUCAAGUACUCAGGAAAGUAAAAUAUAAACUUAAAAUCGUUUUUUUAGACAAUAAACAUUGCUUUUACAUUUUGUAUUUUAAUAUAUUAUAAGCAUAAUUCUGCAGAGAUGAAUUUCCCAAUAUUAUUUUUUUUUUAGAUUUGAGAAAAUUUUAACUUCUUUAUUGAAAAUUUUUUUAAUCCCAACAAAAAUCAGAUGAAGAAAAUUCAGAUAAGAUUUGAAAUCCAAUGAAUGAUUUCACAUUAAUAUACAUAGCUAGCGUGGACCCAGAAAAUGCAAUCAUUUCAUUCUGCAUCUCAUUGUUUCAUACUAAAAUGUUUUCAUUUGUUACUUUUUCAUGUUUGUCACUUGUGUUGCACCACUAACAGAAAAAUAAUUUAUUUUGCAUGAACUUCAAUUUGUUCAUUUCAUUUACAUUUGUUGCUAUUUUAAUGGAGGUGUUUUCAAAGUUUUUCCAAGUGGGGGACUAUUCCCGAGUACGUGCAUGUCUUAGGAUGUCUAUGAAGAUGUGUAGGGUGUACAAUGUGUUUGUGGAACAAUGUGAAUGAUUUCUUGAAUUUUUUCAUUGUCAUAAUUUUUAUUUGUAAUUUUCUCCUUCGUUUUUUCAGUAAGAUUACGGUAUGUACCCUUACUGGAUGAUUGAGAAUACCUCGCAUUAGAAAGAGUUACUCACAUAUUGUACUACAAAAAACAAUUGUAAUCUAAUCACACUGUACAGGGGACCUCUCUGAGUAUCUGACAUAUGAUUCCCCCCAAACUGUACAUACGAUUGAAUUUAGUCAUUACAUGAGAGCCAAAGGAUAUGCAUUCAAACUAUGUACAAUGGUGCAUUGUGCCACAAAGAAUAAAACCAAAAUAUUAUAAUUAUCUCUUCAUAGAUUUCUGCUGUUGUUUACAUUAAAACUGAAAAUGAAUGACACUCAAUUUGUACACAGGUGCAUGUAUAGUUUACUGUGAAUUGUCUGACUCAAGGGAUACAAUCAUGGUUGUAAUUUUUUUUUUAUUUAUGAGCCUAAUGUUUGAGUACAGGUAUACUGAGCAGAUGCAUUACCAUAGUUUAUGGUUCAUUUUAAAUUUUCUCCAUGAGCCUAAAUAUUGAAAAUUACAAGUGUACAUUAUUACAGUAAGAAAUUAUGAACUGUUUUCUUUCUUUUUUUCAAUCAAGUCUGAAUUGUGUCGAGUUAAAAGAAUUUGUUUUUGUUUUAUUUUUGUUUGUAAAGCAUUAUUUAUAUUUAUUGUUGAUCAUUAUGUGUUAGAUUAAAGCUAUAAUUGUAAAUCUGUGUGAGCAGAGAGAGGACAGGUGCAGAAGUAUUUCAUGAUAUGUAGAUUAUUCCAAAGCUCUAUCGAACAUUGUACUCUAAACAAGUUGUUGUUAUUAAAAUUGUAAAUUAAA
rnacentral:misc_RNA from 1 species